AGGACGUUGGUGUCUAUUUUACUUUAGUGCGAUUCAGCCAUACAGUGAUGAAUGAUUUAGUUUGUCUUUAUUAGUAGAUAUACUGAUAUCAGCUAAACAGGUCUCUUGGGGGUCUUGGUAACUGUUCUGCAGGGUAACUGAGACAGACAGACGUAGCUACAUGAGCCAGACACAGCAGACACGGAUUAAGGCGCAUCUAUGAUACGUUGUGUAUUUUGUUUACCUCAGUAGGUAUGACAGUCAUCUGCUGUCAGAGUCAGAUUUCAGUGGCGGUGUUGCCCACCCUGGAUCUACUCCCAGCACUUAUAAAGUGAUCCAGUAGACUGACUUCAGUUUCCUUGAUCCUGCUAUGCAACCAACCUUGAAACACCACCAAGUCCAACUCAUCAGGUCCUUACUGACACUCGAUGUAAAAAGAUAAAAAACUUGGCACAAUUUCAUGCCUCGCCCUAAUGCUUCUGCCUUUGUUGACUGAUUGAUUACCAUCUUCUUUUUAGUAAAUAUGUGGGGCAUUUAACAGGCGCUUAGCUUGUUUU
ensembl:lncRNA